UACAGAGGUCUCAAGCGUUGUUCGGAUUCAUUGGGCGUAAAGGGCUCGUAGGCGGUUUGUCGCGUCGGGAGUGAAAUCCACUGGCUUAACUGGUGGCUUGCUUUCGAUACGGGCAGACUGGAGGUAUGCAGGGGAGAACGGAAUUCCUGGUGUAGCGGUGAAAUGCGCAGAUAUCAGGAGGAACACCGGUGGCGAAGGCGGCAUCCUGGACCAUGACUGACGCUGAGGAGCGAAAGCCAGGGGAGCAAACGGG
rnacentral:rRNA from 1 species